rnacentral:lncRNA from 1 species
CCAUGUGCCACUAGCUUCAUAUGUAGUUGUUCAAGAAUCCAUAGUCAUGAAGAAAGAUUUUUUAUCCUGUGUAUACAUUUUUGUAAUCUUUAAAAGUUUGUUCUCUCUUGCAAGUUUUGAGACUUCUGUAGAUAGUUUUUAAGCCAGGACUUUGCUUUCUUGUUCUUUUCUUGAAUCAAGCCCAGUUGCUAUUGCCUCA